rnacentral:rRNA from 1 species
AUACGGGGGGUGCAAGCGUUAAUCGGAAUUACUGGGCGUAAAGCGCGCGUAGGCGGUUUGCUCAGUCGGAUGUGAAAGCCCAGGGCUCAACCUUGGAACUGCAUACGAUACUGGCAAACUAGAGUGUGAGAGAGGAUAGUGGAAUUUCCGGUGUAGCGGUGAAAUGCGUAGAUAUCGGAAGGAACAUCAGUGGCGAAGGCGACUGUCUGGCUCAACACUGACGCUGAGGUGCGAAAGCGUGGGUAGCAAACAGGAUUAGAUACCCGAGUAGUCC